UACGUAGGGAGCAAGCGUUGUCCGGAAUCAUUGGGCGUAAAGCGCGCGUAGGCGGCCCUGUAAGUCCGCUGUGAAAGUCAAAGGCUCAACCUUUGAAAGCCGGUGGAUACUGCAGGGCUAGAGUCCGGAAGAGGCGAGUGGAAUUCCUGGUGUAGCGGUGAAAUGCGCAGAUAUCAGGAAGAACACCCGUGGCGAAGGCGGUUCUCUGGGACGGUACUGACGCUGAGACGCGAAAGCGUGGGGAGCGAACAGG
rnacentral:rRNA from 1 species